rnacentral:rRNA from 1 species
UGAGGAAUAUUGCGCAAUGGGGGAAACCCUGACGCAGCGACGCCGCGUGAGUGAUGAAGGCCUUCGGGUUGUAAAGCUCUGUCAGAGGGGAAGAAAGGAGAAGUAGCUAAUAUCUGCUUCUAUUGACGGUACCCUUGGAGGAAGCACCGGCUAACUCCGUGCCAGCAGCCGCGGUAAUACGGAGGGUGCAAGUGUUAUUCGGAUUUACUGGGCGUAAAGAGCACGUAGGCGGAUAGGUCAGUCAGAUGUGAAAGCCCGGAGCUUAACUCCGGAACUGCAUUUGAUACUACUUGUCUUGAGUAUGGUAGAGGGGGGUGGAAUUCCCGGUGUAGAGGUGAAAUUCGUAGAUAUCGGGAGGAACACCAGAGGCGAAGGCGACCCCCUGGGCCAUAACUGACGCUGAGGUGCGAAAGCGUGGGGAGCAAACAGG